GAGUUUGAUCCUGGCUCAGGACGAACGCUGGCGGCGUGCCUAAUACAUGCAAGUCGAGCGAGCUUGCCUAGAUGAUUUUAGUGCUUGCACUAAAUGAAACUAGAUACAAGCGAGCGGCGGACGGGUGAGUAACACGUGGGUAACCUGCCCAAGAGACUGGGAUAACACCUGGAAACAGAUGCUAAUACCGGAUAACAACACUAGACGCAUGUCUAGAGUUUGAGAGAUGGUUCUGCUAUCACUCUUGGAUGGACCUGCGGUGCAUUAGCUAGUUGGUAAGGUAACGGCUUACCAAGGCAAUGAUGCAUAGCCGAGUUGAGAGACUGAUCGGCCACAUUGGGACUGAGACACGGCCCAAACUCCUACGGGAGGCAGCAGUAGGGAAUCUUCCACAAUGGACGAAAGUCUGAUGGAGCAACGCCGCGUGAGUGAAGAAGGGUUUCGGCUCGUAAAGCUCUGUUGGUAGUGAAGAAAGAUAGAGGUAGUAACUGGCCUUUAUUUGACGGUAAUUACUUAGAAAGUCACGGCUAACUACGU
rnacentral:rRNA from 1 species